rnacentral:piRNA from 1 species
UAACUUCCAGGUUGUUUAGUCGUGCCU